rnacentral:tRNA from 1 species
UGACGCUACGGACUUAAAAUCCGUCGACUUUUAAAAUCGUGAGGGUUCAAGUC